AUUGAACGCUGGCGGCAGGCCUAAUACAUGCAAGUCGAACGAGUGGCGGACGUGUGAGAAAUUCAUGGGAAUCCACCUUUUGGAGGGGGAUAACAACGGGAAACAGAAGCUAAUCCCGUGUACCAUAGGAUGAGUCCAAUUGGGAUUAGGUAGUUGGUGAGGUAAAGGUCCACCAACCGACGAGCUCUAGCUGGUGUGAGAGGUUGACCGGCCACACUGGGACUGAGACACGGCCCAGACUCCUACGGGAGGCAGCAGUGGGGAAUCUUGCACAAUGGGGGCAACCCUGACGCAGCCAUGCCGCGUGAGUGAAGAAGGCUUUCGGGUUGUAAAGUUAUUUCGUUGGCGAGGCGUUAACUACAGAAGAAGCACCGGCUAACUACGUGCCAGCAGCCGCGGUAAUAC
rnacentral:rRNA from 1 species